rnacentral:misc_RNA from 1 species
GCAAACUUGGUCAUUUAGAGGAAGUAAAAGUCGUAACAAGGUCUCCGUUGGUGAACCAGCGGAGGGAUCAUUAUCGAGUUUUUUACACUCAAACCCGUCUGUGAACCCGAAACUGUUGCUUCGGCGGGAGCCCCUCAAGGCGCCCGCCAAAGGUUUAUUAUUUUUCUUCUUUCAAGUGGCUCGCAGCCGCGCCUAAUUCUCUGAAUUAUUAUUCAAAAAAAGUCAAAACUUUCAACAACGGAUCUCUUGGUUCCGGCAUCGAUGAAGAACGCAGC